GACGUAGGGCGCAAGCGUUGUCCGGAUUUAUUGGGCGUAAAGGGCGCGUAGGCGGCCUGUUAAGUCGAACGUGAAAUCCCUGGGCUCAACCCAGGAACUGCGUCCGAUACUGGCAGGCUUGAAUUCGGGAGAGGGAUGCGGAAUUCCAGGUGUAGCGGUGAAAUGCGUAGAUAUCGGGAGGAACACCAGUGGCGAAGGCGGCUACCUGGCCCACUCUUGACGCUGAGGCGCGAAAGCUAGGGGAGCAAACGGGG
rnacentral:rRNA from 1 species